rnacentral:rRNA from 1 species
GAUGAACGCUGGCGGCGUGCCUAAUACAUGCAAGUCGAGCGAAUGGAUUAAGAGCUUGCUCUUAUGAAGUUAGCGGCGGACGGGUGAGUAACACGUGGGUAACCUGCCGAUAAGACUGGGAUAACUCCGGGAAACCGGGGCUAAUACCGGAUAACAUUUUGAACCGCAUGGUUCGAAAUUGAAAGGCGGCUCCGGCUGUCACUUAUGGAUGGACCCGCGUCGCAUUAGCUAGUUGGUGAGGUAACGGCUCACCAAGGCAACGAGGCGUAGCCUGCCUGAGAGGGUGAUCGGCCACACUGGGACUGAGACACGGCCCAGACUCCUACGGGAGGCAGCAGUAGGGAAUCUUCCGCAAUGGACGAAAGUCUGACGGAGCAACGCCGCGUGAGUGAUGAAGGCUUUCGGGUCGUAAAACUCUGUUGUUAGGGAAGAACAAGUGCUAGUUGAAUAAGCUGGCACCUUGACGGUACCUAACCAGAAAGCCACAGCUAACUACGUGCCAGCCGCCGCCGUAA